rnacentral:lncRNA from 1 species
GAGUUCGAGACCAGCCUGGCCAAUAGGGCGAGACCCCAUCUCAGCCAAAAAUACAAAAAUUAGCCAAGCGUGGUGGCAUAUGCCUGUAGCCCCAGCUACUUGGGAGGCUGAAGUGAGAGGACUGCUUGAAUUCGGGGGUGGAGGUUGCAGUAAGCCAAGAUCGCCCCACUGCACUCCAGCCUGGGCAACAAUGCAAGACCCCUUAAAAGACAAAACAAAACAAAACAAGCUUAUUUGAUAGGCCUUAAGGAAUAUUCCUGUACUCCAACAACUGUUAUGAAAAUAAAAGUGAGAGAGUAGAUGAAAAGAUCGACUACACAGCUACAAGACUUAACUAACGUAGGAUCCGGAAGAGACGUUUAGGUGAUAAGGGUAGCACACUUGAUGGCAGGUAGGGUGCAUCAUCUGAGACUGAGGGUAUAACCCAUGACAGUGGGGUUGAAUGGAGUCCACAAGCUCUCUGGGUGGCCUGCUCCAUUGGCAAGAUGAGGGCCACCUCCUCUAAGAAUUCUUCAUAUAUCUUUAACUGCUCGCUUCACAUUUUUAUGUUUUUUCCAAAUUUAUUGGCCUUCCUCAAAGACACUAUGUUGUGUCCAUACAGAAUUGAAUAUUACAUGAUUCAUCUAGGGAAAAGCUUGAGUAGAAAGUGAGAAAAAUGAGAGAAAACAAUGUUAAACAACUUUAACAAAUAUUAAUGUUUCACUUAAUUCAUUAAACAUUAAGGAAAUGUUUAAUGAAGUUAUUUGAUGUCUCUGAGCCUCUGGCUCCUUUUCAGAUAAAUGAAAACAUCCUAAAGAGUGAAACUGUUUUUUCAGCCAUACUUAAAUUUUUUUUUUCUGUGAUCUGAGAGACAAAACUUUAUUAAUAGCCAAUCUAAAAAGGAGGGAAAAUUAUGGAACACAGGAAGAUCCUUACAAGAAAAUUUCUCGGUAAAAUAGGUCCAAAUUUCAGCACCCUCCCAGAUGAGUUAGUGAAACAGCAAAUGGACCUCACUAAAAGGCAGUUAAGCUACAGACUCUGAGGACAGUUACAAAGGAGGAGCUUCCCUGCAGAAAACAGAACCAGAGACAGGCUGAGUGUGAGCUAGUUUUAGGCAUUCAUGUUGAAUAACCAUUUGUUAAUACGGCUGUAUCAAAUUAAUUAUAAUCAGGUUAAAAAUGGUUAUUGUGUUGAAAAUAUUGUGUCAAAUUACUAUGAUGAGAAAGAGAUGAUGUAUGUGGAAGUCCUGACAGCACAGAACUUGUAAGUAAUAGAAUUUCAUCAAUCUACAGAUAUAAGGGGAAAAAAACCCCAAUACUGAGGACUAGCCCCAGCCUCCCAAACAAAAAAAAAAUCCCCAGAAGUGGAAAUUCAUUAUGUCUUAACAAGACGAGAUAAAUUAUGUUCAGACACA